CCGCACGCAGCCCGGAGCUCUGACCGCCCGCUGUGCUGUGAGGAAGCACCGGCCGGAACUCUCGCGUUUAACUCUUAACACGGGCCCGCAGCCGCGACAAAAGUUCCGAGCGGCUGUUCCGAGCGGCGCGGAGCACCCGCGGGCGGUUGGGCUGCCGUCAGCGGUUCGCAGCCCGGGCUUAGGAGCGCUGUUCUCAGCCGUCGUUCGAGCGGGGGAAGCGAGCUCUUAUCCCAACCGCUCGAAUGCGACGCGACGGCAGCGCCCUCCUCACGGGUGUCCGCCGCCGGCAGCCCUCGGGUCGGCCGCGGCACGGAGACUUCACCCAUCAGCCCUCGGUUCACUGCACGGACCGAAAGCUUCGAACGGCUCCGUAGCGGCUCGCGGCUAUUUUCCCCAUUACAAACGAAACGCUCCGUUCGAAGCUCUCGCUCCCGAAGCGCCUUUUCCCUCCUAACGGCCGGGCGGUAACGCCUGGCUCCUGAGCCGAAGACCCGACGCGGUUAUCUCUGCAGCACGAAGCGAUCGGGAACGCCUCUCGGUCCCUUCUCGGAGCCAAGCGGCGGAGACGCGGCCACCGCCGAGCCCCGACGGGGCGCGGAGCUCCGUGCUGCUGGCUGAGCUCCCGGCGGGUUAAGCCGCCGCCGCAGCCGGGCGAGGUGUCGACGGUUGGCGUUGUCGAUACGCUGCCCACCCGACCGCGGGUCAAUUGGCAUUUGCCUGCCUUUGACCUGGCGCUUCUGACGCGCGCACAUUGAAGGGCGCGAUCUUUCCCUCUGUUGUAAGGGAUAGAAAACGAGCGGAUGCGCUGUGGCUGAACAAGACAUUCCAGAAUACAGCUCUGUAUCCCGCCGAGAGAGACCCUGAAAUAUUCGGGGUGAGGGCAUCUCCCCCGCUGUAUCCCCGUUCGGCCCCUGCGGGGUCCCUCUCUGGAGCACCCUUCGCCCAACCCGAGCAUCCCCCCGCGCCUCUCUCUGCUCCCGGGCAGCCACGCUUUGGAAGCUGCUUUAUUUCAAAGGCAGCUUUAAAGCGAGUUUCGAGGAAGCCGCCUCCUUUCCUCCUAAUUUUGAUUUGAGCUUCACAACGGGGUGGCGAGCGAAGGAGAUAAACAGUAGGUGAAGAACGGUGGUGAGCCCGAUAGCGAUCUGCACCUAAUCGUUCCGACUGCGUGCGCGGCUGACUCAGCGCCUCGUUGCUCUGUGCUUAGAGAGCCGCAGCGCGUUUACACGGCUUUGUUUGUGCUCCCCGGCGUUUCCACACGCCGACUUGGAAGCUGGCGUUUUAGGUAGCAGCCACCGAUUCCGCAUCGCUUUCAGCCGUCCAAAGUUGCCGGGCGCGCCGCUUGUCUCAGUGACACCGGCACGAUCGCUGCUCCCACCCCGUGCGGAGCCACUGAGACCCUCUUACAACGUGGAGCACACCUGGAGUUAAGAGAGUUUUAAGCCUGUCCUUAUCGCGCACGGCGCGCUGCGUUCACCCAUUUGCUCUCAGACAGCGCUUUUGAACGCUCGGUAUUCUUAUUUUUCAAUGACAUUCGCUUAUUAUUAGAGCAGCUGGUAGCCCCAGUGAAGUGCCUGGCAAAGGGCUCCAUCGUAAAACACUGCUUUCUAAGUUUAUAGUUUCUAAUUUGGCUGUGAAAGUGUGAUUCUGGCUGCAAUUUGGCACUCAAGUGCUCAGCUGGAGUGUAAACUUCUCAUAAUAAAAACACUGGUUUAGUGGGUUUGCUGUUUUAAGUUAUAAGAGAUUUAACGAAGUUUUGACUAGUUUUGGAAGCCCAGAGAGGUCUUUCUAUUUAAAUUAGUAAACGUUAUGAUUUUGGUAAGGGUAGGGUACGUUCUGCGCCUUUUUUUUUUUUUAUGAUAAUAAUAAUAAUAAUUAUUAUUAUUAUUGUGAUUUAAUGUGCAAUUAUUUUUAAGGCAAGCUAAUGCUUCAGGUCUUUAUCUCUGUGCUUUCAGAUCCCGAAAUUGCUCCUGCAGGAACACCAGAGGCAGGACUUGCACAGCAGCUGCUGGCAGCUCUGGGCAGAGGGUGCUGAUGGGGUCUCGACUACUUCCAGCCAUAAAGAAAAGUUCACAACGCAGCCCAUCUCGACUUGCAAAGAGACAAAUUCGCAGAGAUGAUGCAGCCUGGGAACGCUGAUAAGAACAGCAGACAAAGAUGUCAUUGAGUUAAAAAAAGAGUUGGGGUGGUUCCUUGCUAGGACCUGAACACCAAAUGACUAUUGCCUAGGAUCCAAAGGGGAGACUUAAGCUUGCUGCAGAAUUCCUGGUCAGACUUGGAUGGUCCAGAACUGGCAGCCAAAUGCCUCUUGAGCACAAAGCCGAUCAGGACGUGUAAGCUUCCCUCCCUUCUCUCAAGUGCCAAAAUCAGAGUGGAUGGAGACUGCUGACUGCCUCGGGUCCAGGCUUUCCUGCUGGAGAAGUUGCCUCUAGCUUUUAUUCAAGAGAAUUCAUUUUGUCCAAACGAGUGAACCUUCACAUCGCUCCCAUCUCUGUCUUGUACAGGCUUUAUGGUGUGGUUCAAUAGCUCACGGUUAGGAAAGAAGAAGGUGUCUUCCCAUUCUACAGGAUUCUUCUACAAGCUCUUCAAAUGUCACUCGGCAAAGAUCAGGAAUCCUUCACUGACGUCCCCACAGUCUGGGCUGCUCUCACUCACCCACAUUCUGCCCCUUUCUGUUGUCCCGUGGAUGGCUAAGAAGCGGGGGCUGAGUGCCCUCUAAUCCAGUGGUUAAGGGCCUCACUGUGGAACGAUAAAUCAGAUUGUACGUUCUUGCAGUAGGUCGUGAAGCUUUUUAACCAGGAGAUCUUUUCAGAGGCGGAGAGAUCUCUAAAGAUUUUUACGUUUAAAUUCAAUUUCAGUUUUAAACUGCCCCCGAGUUUGUCUUCACGUUUCACUUCUUCAGGCUGUCCAGCAGGCAUAGAUGAUGAUUAUUAUUUUUUUUUGCCCUGGAAUAAAAACAUUUUAAUGACCAGUUUUGUUCAGGGAUGAUUCAUACUCUUAAACCACCCAAGGUUGUUCUCUUAGUCACGGGUGUUAGACAGGUCCCAAAAAAUCCAUGCCAUUUUGAAGACAAGGUCUUCGAUUUCACUGGAUAAGAUUGUGGUUUGGAUACCUCUGGCAGGCACUUCAGGAUACCUAAGUGUGCACAAGGAGACUAAAAAGACGAGUUAAGUGUUUAGGCUGUUCCCUUCUGAAGAAAAGCAAAGUGUGCUUCAGGAAUGAGCUUUCCUACCUCUGGACAGUGACAGAACACUUCUGCUCCUACAUGAUGAGUGUUCUGCUGGGAAAGGAGUCCCUCCACUUUGUGGUUGCUCUGCUGUAAACUCAGGUUCCUAGAGGUGAAGAGUCAUUGCUCUGACACAAUAUCCCAG
rnacentral:lncRNA from 1 species